UACGGAAGGCAGCAGUGGGGAAUAUUGGACAAUGGGCGCAAGCCUGAUCCAGCCAUGCCGCGUGUGUGAAGAAGGCCUUUUGGUUGUAAAGCACUUUAAGCGAGGAGGAGGCUCUCUUAGUUAAUACCUAAGAUGAGUGGACGUUACUCGCAGAAUAAGCACCGGCUAACUCUGUGCCAGCAGCCGCGGUAAUACAGAGGGUGCGAGCGUUAAUCGGAUUUACUGGGCGUAAAGCGUGCGUAGGCGGCUUUUUUAAGUCGGAUGUGAAAUCCCCGAGCUUAACUUGGGAAUUGCAUUCGAUACUGGGAAGCUAGAGUAUGGGAGAGGAUGGUAGAAUUCCAGGUGUAGCGGUGAAAUGCGUAGAGAUCUGGAGGAAUACCGAUGGGCGAAGGCAGCCAUCUGGCCUAAUACUGACGCUGAGGUACGAAAGCAUGGGGAGGCAAACAGGAUUAGAUAACC
rnacentral:rRNA from 1 species